rnacentral:lncRNA from 1 species
UCAUCUCGAUGCUGUAGUUGUAUUACUGGUCCUUUAACCUAAGAUGACACUGCCACUCAUAGUGAGGUUACUGAAAUUUGAUUGACACAUAAACAUGGGUCUCAAUAAGCCUUUGUAGUGGAUAAUGACAACAGUUGGUUUACUGUAGGAGUAGGGUAUGCAUCAAGAUGGGAUCUAUCGAUCUUAGUAGAAAGGAGUAGUCCUAU